UGGGGGAUAUUGCACAAUGGGGGGAACCCUGAUGCAGCGACGCCGCGUGGGUGAAGAAGCGCCUCGGCGCGCAAAGCCCUGUCAGCAGGGAAGAAAAUGACGGUACCUGAAGAAGAAGCCCCGGCUAACUACGUGCC
rnacentral:rRNA from 1 species